rnacentral:rRNA from 1 species
GAUGAACGCUGGCGGCGUGCCUAAUACAUGCAAGUCGAGCGAACGGACGAGAAGCUUGCUUCUCUGAUGUUACCGGCGGACGGGUGAGUAACACGUGGAUAACCUACCUAUAAGACUGGGAUAACUUCGGGAAACCGGAGCUAAUACCGGAUAAUAUUUUGAACCGCAUGGUUCAAAAGUGAAAGACGGUCUUGCUGUCACUUAUAGAUGGAUCCGCGCUGCAUUAGCUAGUUGGUAAGGUAACGGCUUACCAAGGCAACGAUGCAUAGCCGACCUGAGAGGGUGAUCGGCCACACUGGAACUGAGACACGGUCCAGACUCCUACGGGAGGCAGCAGUAGGGAAUCUUCCGCAAUGGGCGAAAGCCUGACGGAGCAACGCCGCGUGAGUGAUGAAGGUCUUCGGAUCGUAAAACUCUGUUAUUAGGGAAGAACAUAUGUGUAAGUAACUGUGCACAUCUUGACGGUACCUAAUCAGAAAGCCACGGCUAACUACGUG